UGAGGAAAUGAACCUGUUACCAUGGGGUCCAUUAGUCCUAUGACAUAUGGUACCAUCUAGAAACUUCUAGAAUGGUAGAACAUUGGAAUGGCCUACUGAAAGCACAGCUGAAGUGACAGUUCAGAGCAACAUUCCACAAAGAUGGAGACUACCACCAAGGACGUGGUGUUAUCAACUGAAUCAGAGACCUCUAUGUGAUACUGUGAGAACCAAUGGGUAGAUGCAGGAGUAGCUUUACUUACCGUCAUGCCCAAUAACCCACCAGAUGACUUUGGGCUACUGGUCCUUGCAACUCUGGACUCCGCAGGUUAGAGGUUCUCAUCCCCAGGGAACACAUUCUCGCCAGAAGGAGCAGCAAAGUUCCCACUAAACUGCAAGUUGUUGCUGCCACCUGGGCAUUUGAAUUCCUUGUGUCUUGGGACCAACAGGCAAGAAGUGGAGUCACUAACUUCAAGCAGAAUUAGUGCCAGGAAUGCUGUUCCAAAGUCCGUGGUGUCUGUGCAUAUGGCAAAGCGCACACAAGUGAAGGCAUCCAUUUAUCUCCUCUACUCCAUCUGGACACCUGGAUGUCAGUUACAAAUACUAAUUGGUUGAAUGGCUUGUGUACUUUCUCUUA